rnacentral:lncRNA from 1 species
GAGCCUUUCUCCUUGCAGUGGAUGUGGGUGCUACAAAACAACAGGCACCACGGUGUCCCACACCAAAAUCAAGUAUAAAAGGCUGAAGUGCCGAGAGAGUCGUGCCCCAGCAAACCAGCCGGUUCCUGAGAGCUUUUAGUCAGCUCAGAACUUUGAAGGGUUUCUCAGGAGAUCAAAGUUGGAGGAGUUGUGCCUGGGUCCCACUACAGACCUAUGAUGACAUCCGUCACAGAACCAGGAAAGAUGCAGAACCAAGAAAGAUGCAGAGCCAGGAGGAAGCCUACAGGAGCAGAGAUGUCUCAACCUUCCUAGCUCCCGCUGGAUCCUGCAUCUCAGAUCCUGUGUAGAUUGAAGAGUUGAGGCCUGCCACUAAUCUCAUGAAUCCUUAUUAA